CCUACGGGAGGCAGCAGUAGGGAAUCUUCCACAAUGGACGAAAGUCUGAUGGAGCAACGCCGCGUGAGUGAUGAAGGUUUUCGGAUCGUAAAACUCUGUUGUAAGGGAAGAACAAGUACGAGAGGGAAUGCUCGUACCUUGACGGUACCUUGCGAGAAAGCCACGGCUAACUACGUGCCAGCAGCCGCGGUAAUACGUAGGUGGCAAGCGUUGUCCGGAAUUAUUGGGCGUAAAGCGCGCGCAGGCGGCCUUUUAAGUCUGAUGUGAAAGCCCCCGGCUCAACCGGGGAGGGUCAUUGGAAACUGGAAGGCUUGAGUACAGAAGAGAAGAGUGGAAUUCCAUGUGUAGCGGUGAAAUGCGUAGAGAUGUGGAGGAACACCAGUGGCGAAGGCGACUUUUUGGUCUGUAACUGACGCUGAGGCGCGAAAGCGUGGGGAGCAAACAGGAUUAGAUACCCUGGUAGUCCACGCCGUAAACGAUGAGUGCUAGGUGUUGGGGGGUUUCCGCCCGUCAGUGCUGAAGCUAACGCAUUAAGCACUCCGCCUGGGGAGUACGGCCGCAAGGCUGAAACUCAAAUGAAUUGACGG
rnacentral:rRNA from 1 species